GACGAACGCUGGCGGCGUGCCUAAUACAUGCAAGUCGAACGCAGUGGGGACGGGUGAGUAACACGUGGGUAACCUCCCAUCAGAGGGGAUAACACUUGGAAACAGGUGCUAAACCGAUACUGAUGGAUGACCCCGCGUUGCAUUAGCUGGUUGGUGAGGUAACGGCUCAUCAAGGCCACGAUGCAUAGCCGACCUGGGAGGAGGAUCGGCCACACGGGGACUGAGACACGGCCCAGACUCCUACGGGAGGCAGCAGUGGGGAAUAUUCGACAAUGGACGAAAGUCUGACCGAGCAACGCCGCGUGAGUGAAGAAGGUUUUCGGAUCGUAAAGCUCUGUUAGUCGAGAGGCGGUAUCUAACCAGAAAGCCACGGCUAACUACGUGCCAGCAGCCGCGGUAAUUC
rnacentral:rRNA from 1 species